UACAGAGGAGCCAAGCGUUGUCCGGAUUGACUGGGCGUAAAGCGCACGCAGGCGGACGCGCGCGUGGGGUGUGAAAUCUGGCCGCUUAACGGCCAGGCGCCAUCCCAUACGGCGCGACUGGAGUGAUGCAGAGGUCGAUGGAAUUGCCGAUGUAGUGGUGAAAUGCGUAGAGAUCGGCAGGAACACCCAGGGGGAAACCAGUCGACUGGGCAUCUACUGACGCUGAGGUGCGAGAGCGUGGGGAGCGAACCGG
rnacentral:rRNA from 1 species